rnacentral:misc_RNA from 1 species
GAUGAAGAACGCAGCGAAAUGCGAUAAGUAAUGUGAAUUGCAGAAUUCAGUGAAUCAUCGAAUCUUUGAACGCACAUUGCGCCCGCCAGUAUUCUGGCGGGCAUGCCUGUUCGAGCGUCAUUACAACCCUCAGGCCCCCGGGCCUGGCGUUGGGGAUCGGCGGAAGCCCCCUGCGGGCACAACGCCGUCCCCCAAAUACAGUGGCGGUCCCGCCGCAGCUUCCAUUGCGUAGUAGCUAACACCUCGCAACUGGAGAGCGGCGCGCCCACGCCGUAAAACACCCAACUUCUGAAUGUUGACCUCGAAUCAGGUAGGAAUACCCGCUGAACUUAAGCAUAUCAAUAAGCGGAGGA